UAGGGAAUCUUCGGCAAUGGGGGGAACCCUGACCGAGCAACGCCGCGUGAGUGAAGAAGGUUUUCGGAUCGUAAAGCUCUGUUGUUAAGGAAGAACGAGUGUGAGAAUGGAAAGUUCAUGCUGUGACGGUACUUAACCAGAAAGGGACGGCUAACUACGUGCCAGCAGCCGCGGUAAUACGUAGGUCCCGAGCGUUGUCCGGAUUUAUUGGGCGUAAAGCGAGCGCAGGCGGUUAGAAAAGUCUGAAGUGAAAGGCAGUGGCUCAACCAUUGUAGGCUUUGGAAACUGUUUAACUUGAGUGCAGAAGGGGAGAGUGGAAUUCCAGGUGUAGCGGUGAAAUGCGUAGAUAUAUGGAGGAACACCGGUGGCGAAAGCGGCUCUCUGGUCUGUAACUGACGCUGAGGCUCGAAAGCGUGGGGAGCGAACAGG
rnacentral:rRNA from 2 species